rnacentral:lncRNA from 1 species
UUCUCAUCAAAGAGUGUUCUAUAGGGAAGAGAUAAAACCUAAACAGUCCCGGAAGCUGAGACAAGAAACUGAAAAAAAAAGGAAAGUGAGCAACAAGAUAAUGUAAGUCACAACUGAGCCAAUUAAGGAGCAGGAGAUGCAGCAGCAUGUCCCAAACAAAACUGAUUGGAGGUCAAGUGUGGACAACCAGAGCAAGUUCUUGCACAGCUAAUGUAUCCCCAGGUGUGAACUGAGUAACAUGAAGAAAGGCAUCCUCCUGCCACCUCCUGGCAUGAUUUUAGGCGUUUUGCAUGAACUCUAAUUCAUUGAAAUGUAACAACCUUAUAAGGUCCCUGCAGGACCAUGUCACCCAAAAUAAUGCAUCAGAUAUAAGGACUUGUCUUUUACUCAUUUACUUCUUGGACCUACUUAGAAAACUGUGGCAGCACUGUUUUGUUAUUAUUGUCUUAAGUGCAUGAUCCAACUUGGAAAGGUUCCAGGUGUGUCUUAGUUUUGAAGCUUCACAGCAGCUGAGUAGUAGUGUGUGGUGAGCAUAACAAAUACCUAAAACUUUCAGGAAGGUGAAUCCUUCUCUCUGACCGUGGGAACUAUGGUCUGAAGAUGAAUGCCAAUCGCAAGAUAAUUCAAAUAUUGAAAUUAUGAAACAAUGACUUCCAAAUCAGCUAUGAUAAUGUGAUCUACAAGCUAAGGUCUAAUAUCCUCAAAACAAAUGGAAAGACAGAACAUCUUAGCAGGGAAAUAAAAGAUUCAACUGGCUCAUGGUUUGUACCGGGGGAACCAAGCCCAUGGUUGGGAUCCAGGGGUCCCUCCAGUCUCCUGUUCCAUGGUCGCACACACCUUGAGGGCACCCACACGGUUUGAUCGUCUCCUUAUAUUGCUGCUGGCAGACUCGUGACGGGGUUUCUCAUUCAUCUGGGUGUACAAGAAGCAUGGUGCCAGCAUCUGCUCAGCUUCUGAUGAGGGCUCUGGGAAGCUUUUACUCAUGGAGGAAGGCAAGGGGAACCAGCAUGUCACAUGAUGAGAAAGGAAGCAUGAGAGAGAGGUGCCAGACUCUUCAACAACCAGAAGAGAAAGUCAGAGAGAAUCAAAGCAUGUGAAGAGAGACCUCACGCAAGGAGGUCUAGGAGCCUAGAGUGAUCUUCAGCCAACAGUCAAAAAGAUAACUGGGACAACCACAAGGAACUGACUUCUAUAAGAGAAAUGAGCCUGGAAAAGGACUCCAAGCUUCAGAUGAAAAUGUAGUUGGCUGACACUUUGAUUUUAGUCUUGUGAAACCCUAAGCAGAGAAUCCAAGUAAGUCCCCCUGAACUUCUCACCUAAAGAACAAUGAGUUAAUAAAUAAG